UUUCCGUAGGUGAACCUGCGGAAGGAUCAUUGCAUCGAUCAAACACAAACCGCGAACCCACGUAUCCCCGCGGCCGCCUUGUCUUUCUCUUCGGGGAAAGAGAGCCGACCGCGCGCUUGUCCCUGUUUGCUCCGCUUCAGCGGAACGGGCAGGUCUAGCGGGCUGGGGAGGCCGCUCUCCCUUCACCGGGAGAGGGCCGAACCCCGGCUGGCAAAAACCCCAUUCGAUCCAAAACCAGAAAACACCUGAAGAUCCGGGACGGCUGUUCGAGAACAGCCGUCUCCAACCAAAGACAACUCUCAACAACGGAUAUCUUGGCUCCC
rnacentral:misc_RNA from 1 species